rnacentral:rRNA from 1 species
UAACGCGUGGGUAACCUGCCCUUUUGUGGGGAACAACUUCGAGAAAUCGGAGCUAAUACCGCAUAAUAAUAGAGGAUCGCAUGAUUCUUUAAGGAAAGAUGGCCUCUGAAGAUGCUAUCGCAAAAGGAUGGACCCGCGUCUGAUUAGCUAGUUGGAAGGGUAACGGCCUACCAAGGCAACGAUCAGUAGCCGGCCUGAGAGGGUGAACGGCCACAUUGGGACUGAGACACGGCCCAAACUCCUACGGGAGGCAGCAGUGGGGAAUCUUCCGCAAUGGGCGAAAGCCUGACGGAGCAAUGCCGCGUGAGUGAAGAAGGCCUUCGGGUUGUAAAACUCUGUCCUUAUCGAAGAGAGGUAGGUAUGUGAAUAAUGUACCUAUAGGACGGUAGAUAAGGAGGAAGCCCCGGCUAACUACGUGCCAGCAGCCGCGGUAAUACGUAGGGGGCGAGCGUUGUCCGGAAUCACUGGGCGUAAAGGGCGCGUAGGCGGUUUAAUAAGUCAGUGGUGAAAACUGAGGGCUCAACUCUCAGCCUGCCACUGAUACUGUUAGACUUGAGUAUGGAAGAGGAGAAUGGAAUUCCUAGUGUAGCGGUGAAAUGCGUAGAUAUUAGGAGGAACACCAGUGGCGAAGGCGAUUCUCUGGGCUAAGACUGACGCUGAGGCGCGAAAGCGUGGGGAGCAAACAGGAUUAGAUACCCUGGUAGU